rnacentral:lncRNA from 1 species
GAAAGAAGAGAGAGGCAAAAAAUUUUUGUUAGAUAUAUGCAUUAGAAGUCAAAUUUGUCUGACACAUAUCUUUUUUUAAGAUAUAUUUUAUACUUGAUGGACAGUCUUUAUAACCAAUCAUAUCUUAUGUAUCCAUAAUUUAUCCUAAAAAUUAACAAAGAUGAUUUUGUAUAUUCUCAAGGUAUUAAGAAUUUGAGGCAUAAAUUAUUAGUGAUUAAUUUUUAAAUACUUUCGAUCGAAGGAUCGUCAUGGAGGACAGUAAUCAAUUCAUUCG